UACAAACAUAUUCUUUACCAUGCCAGAGGACUGAUUUUGACAGAAAACUCCCAGGAACUCACAGCAUUGGUACUCUUCCAAAGCACCAAAUCACUGAUGGGAGAGGCCCACAGUGACCUCUCACCCUGCUCUUUCCAGCUGUGUUUUAUCAGCUUCUCUUCCCUCAUCCAUUCAUGGGGAUGACAAUGUCCACCUUGGGGGAAGUGCAAGCAUAUGGACGAAUACAGACCAAGUCCUUGUUGUGGUGGUUGGCACUCAGUGCUUUGCGUUGUUAUUUGGUCAACCCAAAAAUACACAGAGAAGGCACCAUGAUUGCAGGCGUACCAUAAGUACAGUAAGAAUGUCUUCCUAAUCCAAAAUUGGACAUGCGGUUUGAUGAGAAAAAGGAUAAACAUGAGAUGGUGUCACCCAAUAUUUAAAACCAAGACAUCAAUAUUUUAUUUUCUUACUUAGUCAUGUGUCUCAGAUUCAUGUCAUUAAGCAUUACCUUUUAUUAUAAAAGUCAUUUUUUCCUUCUCCACUUAUCAUUAGAGUCUUUCAAACUCAGCCAAACACGUCACAAUGGAAUAAUGAAUGAACAUGAGAACAGUAAGAAGUGGAACUCAGAAGUUAGAGACAUGCAAAUUUUAUCUAGGAAAAUGUUACGAGGUCAUAAAGAAGACACCAGGACCAAGAGUAGAAAGUGCUAACAUGAUUUCACCAUUUCCCCUGCUAGAAGGAAAAGUGAACCCAAGAGGAAGGAGGUUUUCAGCAGGGGUGGAUGACCUUCCUGCUGCUGUUGCUGUUUUGUUGUUAUGGUUGUUUGUAUCCUCUAACAUUGCUAACACAGUACAAACCACCCAAUUUAAAAUCAGACUUAGAAAAAGUGAUCUCAACUACACAAAAGUUGACCUCCCUCUACUCUUUUUUUUGGCUAAUCACCAACAGCACUUAUGAACUUUAUUACAAAUAAAAUUAUCGGAAUACAUGGAAGAGCAAUUGGAUGUAAUAAAAUUAAUCCAGAAAUGCUAUUUGCAGAAGAGUCAGCCAUUUAUGCCAAAAUCUCACUUCCCCUUAAAUUUUAUCUUUGUAUUUUGAAAAGGAAAAGCAAAAGCAGUUACCAUAUUUACUUGAGAGUCAACAUAGCCAAAAAUUGUUAAUGCCAUGCUAGCAAUCCAGUCUCCUAACAUCCACACUUCUUUCCAUCUCCAGGGUUCACUGUUAUUACUUGCCAAGAUUACGUGGGGGAACAAGAAAAGCUCUUAAACUUUUUUCUCAGCAUGGUGGUUGAAGAGAGACAAACAAAGUAUUAGAAGCUAGAGAAAUGGAGAGAUGUCGAAAGCAGCAAUGCAUUGGGGGACAUCUGAACCAUCCCGACCCAGUGCAACACACCCACCUUGUCAAUGCAAAGUUGAAGAUACUGCAACUAUGCAACCUACAUGGGCCACACAGUGAGACAGAAACACAAUUUCCUUCAAAAUAAUCCAGAUUCGCCAUAUAAAUACUGCUGAGCAAGCUCCUAUUUGCCGUUUGCUGCAAGCUUGGAUGUCAAAACCUGCCAUGCAAGGCUCCACUGCCUCCCAAGCAAAGCCCAGACCACUCAGUCUAGCAUUCCAGAUGCUCCUCAGUCUCCCUUGAUGCUACCUUUUGGAACGUGUUCCUCUCCUCGCCCUUGAUGUACCCAUGUUUACUAUGUGCCCGUUUCCUUGCAAGUUUCCCUAACGUCUACCUCUUUUCUUGCUCGUGCAGUUUCCUGUACCCAGAAUACAACCCUUCUUUCUCCUCCAGCUCAAGUCUUCUUCUUCCGCCUUCUCCCACCUCCAAGGCCUAUCCCAAAUACUGCACCACUUCUUUAGGGUUUUCCCAUCCCUCCGACCAGGAGAAACAGGCAACUAUCUCUCCCUGCUCUGAAACCUUGAGGUUUUUCAUCUCCCCCUCUCUGAUGGCACUUUGCAGCCCCUAUUUUGCAUUGCUUGAGUUCUCUCCCCUGCUGCUCAGUUAAUAAGCUUAAAAGUAGGCUGAGAUUGAGUAUAGCUUGAACAGAGCAGAUGUUUAAAUAUUUGCCAAAUAAAUGAAAGUGGCUACGUUUACACAACUUAUAUCCACAGUGCCUUAAAAAACUGAAAGCACACUUACUAGGUAGAGAGCCCUUGAUAACUUCCAGUAACAAAGUUUUCUGCGGAAAUGGUAAUAAAUUUCCCCACCAGGCAGGAUUUGGCAGUCACUAUGGACAGGCUUGGUCUAACCAGCUUCUUGUUUACUUGGGUAAUUUACUGACUCGGCGACUGUCUACUUCUGCCUAGAUGACAAAGAGUAAUUCCAUUCAGGAGACAUUUCCCCUAUUUGUAUGUCACCGAGGCAGCAGCAAUGUCCAUUUUCAGCACUGACGUGGCAGACUGGGGCCCAGCCAAGAAAAGGAACUCAACUCCAGGGGCUUAUAUUCACACACACUGGGUUUCCCUAGAACAACAAUUUACAAUCUGGACAUCAGUUCCAGACUAAAGUAAAUGUCUGCCUCUACUUCCAAUCCAAAGCAUUUUUUACCUUCCUAUGAGCUUAGGUUCUAUAGAUAUAUGUCAUAUUUCCUUACCAACUUAAAAUAAAUUUCAACUGGAGAAAAAAAGAAGCUUAGAGUUCUGAUCUUGCAGUUACAUAAAUCCCAGAGUUUGAGGUUGAUGAUAAAGAUUCAAGCACAGUGAGUGAUACCGAGUGUAAUUUCCCACAUUAUCACAAUAGCAAAAAUGUAACCUCCCCUUCUCCCUGUGAGUCAGCCCAGAAACCCACUACGUUAAUCUCGAGAAAUGCUUAAACCUUGAGGGAAACUUAUUCAAAGAGGUUGUCAUGGCAGGUUCACAUGAGACUUUUUAAAUCAAUUAAGUUCCAGUACACAUUCCUUCACUGUUGACAAUAAUCACAUAUUUUCCCUACAGGAAAGAACCCCUGUGAACCUUCGCAUGUGGUUUUACAGAUUCUUUAGCAGACAGCUGAUACUAUUUGUGAAACCAGGUUUCCCCCAUGCACUCCACGCAGUGUGUUUAACCUUUCCAGAGAAACAUCUACCAAGUCCCUACUUUACUUGAAUUUGUACUUUAUUGUGAUAUGCAUUUCAUUUGUAUUGAUUUGGGCUUCAGUAUUACAUACUGAUCAUUUCAGUAAUCAUCUCUUUUAAAAACUAGUUUAUGGGUACCACGCACCAAUUUGGAUAACUCUUAAAAGUGGCAGAAGAGAGCCUGAAUGGCAUGCUUGAUAUGAAUGGACUCAAAAACCAGUGCCCAAAUAUGACUGCUUGAAGGACAUGUGAGAAAGAGCUCUUCCAUAAACUAGUGUUUCCCUUCCUCAUGUUCCUUACUAUUUGUAAGGAACAGAGGCAAUGUGAAAAGCUCCCAGACGUCAUGGGGAGGAGAUGGAUGGCUGCUGAUCCUGGCCGGUUCUAGAAUAGCAGAUGAGGUGGGUACCCGGGCUCCAGGGCAAGGAGGCUGAGCGUCAUUGGUGCAGCCUCCGAGACUGGCUGCUAAUCAGCCUAGAGUGGGGCAAGCGAGAUCAAGGAGACAGCAAAUAAAAUCGCAGGUAAUGAAAAGUCCAAAAAAAUUGUUCCAGGAUUUCCAGUCAAGUUCUACCCUCUCACUAACUCCAGGAAUAGAAUGAGGGAAGCCACAUCAAUAUUCAGGGGGCACAAUCAUGGCUUUGGAAUGCUUUGGUUUUGUGACCCAUGUUGGAAUAUGUUAUUGGUGUACAUGACUGAGCAGCUCUGGUCACCAAAAGCAACACCGCCUCCCUCAGACAAGAAGAGACUCAUGGUUAAGACGUUCAGCAUUUUCAGAGAAAAGAUGGAUAACUUACAAGUACAUUCAGCUAAUAAUUUCUCACCGAAGGAUAAAAGAAGGCAAACUUCCACAAAAGACACAAAUGUGCUUUGAGCCUAUUCUAUAGCAAUGGCUCAUUCACUUGUUCAUUGGUUCAGGAAAUAGACCUGAAACUUACUAAAAUCCUUACUGAAAGUCUUUAAAGAUAGUCGUACCAUUGUCACAGGCUGAUUGAAUAAAGUUUUUAUUUCCAUUACACUUAACACAGACACAUUUCAAGUUUUAUAACUACAUUUCUAGACUUUCCUAUGGUAAACACACCUUUUG
rnacentral:lncRNA from 1 species